UUAGCUACUAUAUAAAAGACAUUGUUUCUACACAAAAAAAGGAAGAAAUCCUAACACCUAGUUUGGAUUGUGGAGAAAAUCAUGUUUACUUCAACUUCCAGUGGCAGCAAACGGUAUCCAGUUGGAAAAUUUGGGAAAAAUUUUAAAACCAACGAAUCGGUGGUAUGUGACCGGCAUGUUACUUUUUUUUCCUUAUACUCCCAUAUAAUAUACUUAAUUUUAUUUUUAUCCUCAUAAAUUAUUAUUUAUUUUAUUAAAUAAAAAAAUUUAAUUUGAUUAUGUGUAAUAAUUAUUUAUUUAAAUAUAAAUGUAAUUAUAUUGGUAAACAAUUUAUUUUUUCCAUUAGAUACUUAUAUACCAUUUACUAUUACAUAAAAUAUUUUUGGGUAAAUUAGUAAUUUAACUGAAAAUACAACCAUACCAUCCUAUCAUUCAAACAAAAAUAUGCCACUAACAUACAUUAAUAUACAAUCAUCCAAACAUAAAUUUUUUUUUUCCAUUCUCAUCCUCUGUC
rnacentral:lncRNA from 1 species